rnacentral:lncRNA from 1 species
AGGAGUUGAGGAGAUGAGGAGAUGAGGCUUAAGGGAGUUUAGGGAGAGCAUGGUACGGACGUCUGUACAAGGCCUUACAAGCCGUACAGUCUGUACCAUCCAAGCCUCGACCAAAACUUACCAUGCAUUGCCCAAGUGAAAUGGUAAACGCGGAAGAGUUACUCAAGAGGGGAAGGAUCAGAACGUUGAGAGGAUAAGGGAAGAUCAUGCCAGGCUGUGACAGGCUGUAAAGAGAGAAAGCAUGCGAGUCCUCUCAUCCGUCCAU